UACAGAGGGUGCGAGCGUUAAUCGGAAUUACUGGGCGUAAAGCGCACGUAGGUGGCGACGUAAGUCGGGUGUGAAAGCCCCGGGCUCAACCUGGGAAUUGCAUUCGAGACUGCAUUGCUGGAGUACGGAAGAGGAAGGCGGAAUUCCCGGUGUAGCGGUGAAAUGCGUAGAUAUCGGGAGGAAUACCAGUGGCGAAAGCGACACCCUGGCAUUAGCCUGACGCUCAUGUGCGAAGGCGUGGGGAGCGAACGGG
rnacentral:rRNA from 1 species